UACGUAGGUGACCAGCGUUGUCCGGAUUUACUGGGCGUAAAGAGCGCGCAGGCGGUCGUUCAAGUCGAGUGUGAAAGCCCCCGGCUCAACUGGGGAGGGUCACUCGAUACUGAUCGACUUGAAGGCAGGAGAGGGAAGUGGAAUUCCCGGUGUAGUGGUGAAAUGCGUGGAUAUCGGGAGGAACACCAGUGGCGAAGGCGACUACCUGGCCUGUUCUUGACGCUGAGGCGCGAAAGCUAGGGUAGCAAACGGG
rnacentral:rRNA from 1 species